GAUGAACGCUGGCGGCGUGCCUAAUACAUGCAAGUCGAGCGAACAGACGAGGAGCUUGCUCCUCUGACGUUAGCGGCGGACGGGUGAGUAACACGUGGAUAACCUACCUAUAAGACUGGGAUAACUUCGGGAAACCGGAGCUAAUACCGGAUAAUAUAUUGAACCGCAUGGUUCAAUAGUGAAAGACGGUUUUGCUGUCACUUAUAGAUGGAUCCGCGCCGCAUUAGCUAGUUGGUAAGGUAACGGCCUACCAAGGCAACGAUGCGUAGCCGACCUGAGAGGGUGAUCGGCCACACUGGAACUGAGACACGGUCCAGACUCCUACGGGAGGCAGCAGUAGGGAAUCUUCCGCAAUGGGCGAAAGCCUUACGGAGCAACGCCGCGUGAGUGAUGAAGGUCUUCGGAUCGUAAAACUCUGUUAUUAGGGAAGAACAAAUGUGUAAGUAACUAUGCACGUCUUGACGGUACCUAAUCAGAAAGCCACGGCUAACUACGUG
rnacentral:rRNA from 1 species